rnacentral:lncRNA from 11 species
UUAGAAACAGGGAUGCACUUGGGAUUCUGUCAAAACUGUGACUGCAACACUGCAAGGUAUAUUUCAUUGGCAAGGCAGAGCACCACCACAGGAAUUCAGACAGACCUCAAAGAACAAAUGGAGACAGGUAAACUCUAGGAUGACUCUAA